GGGACUGCGGAAGGAUCAUUA
rnacentral:rRNA from 1 species